rnacentral:rRNA from 1 species
UGCUACAGCCAUGCUACCCUGAACAAGCCUGAUCCCAUAUGAUCUUGGAAGCUAAGCAGGGUCGGACCUGCUUACUACUUAGAUGGGAGACCACCUAGGAAGACCAGGUGCUGUAGGUG